UACGUAGGGCGCAAGCGUAUCCGGAAUUAUUGGGCGUAAAGAGCUCGUAGGCGGUUUGUCGCGUCUGCCGUGAAAGUCCGGGGCUCAACUCCGGAUCUGCGGUGGGUACGGGCAGACUAGAGUGAUGUAGGGGAGACUGGAAUUCCUGGUGUAGCGGUGAAAUGCGCAGAUAUCAGGAGGAACACCGAUGGCGAAGGCAGGUCUCUGGGCAUUAACUGACGCUGAGGAGCGAAAGCAUGGGGGAGCGAACAGG
rnacentral:rRNA from 1 species